GAUGAACGCUGGCGGCGUGCCUAAUACAUGCAAGUCGAACGCUGAAGGAGGAGCUUGCUCUUCUGGAUGAGUUGCGAACGGGUGAGUAACGCGUAGGUAACCUGCCUGGUAGCGGGGGAUAACUAUUGGAAACGAUAGCUAAUACCGCAUGACAACAGUUAUUGCAUGAUAACUGUUUAAAAGGGGCAACUGCUCCACUACCAGAUGGACCUGCGUUGUAUUAGCUAGUUGGUGAGGUAACGGCUCACCAAGGCGACGAUACAUAGCCGACCUGAGAGGGGGAUCGGCCACACUGGGACUGAGACACGGCCCAGACUCCUACGGGAGGCAGCAGUAGGGAAUCUUCGGCAAUGGACGGAAGUCUGACCGAGCAACGCCGCGUGAGUGAAGAAGGUUUUCGGAUCGUAAAGCUCUGUUGUAAGAGAAGAACGAGUGUGAGAGUGGAAAGUUCACACUGUGACGGUAGCUUACCAGAAAGGGACGGCCAACUACGUG
rnacentral:rRNA from 1 species